CUCGCUUCCCCGCCUUUUGCCCAAGAUCCAGUGUAAUCUCUGUUCUUAUCAGUUUAAUAUCUGAUCCGUCCUCUAUUGAGGACAAUGUAUUAAACGGAUUUUGGAGCAGGGAGAUAGAACAGGGGCGUGCUCCAGUCGCUCUACGCAUGGACCUGAUGUUACUUCCAGGAAUGGUGUGCACCACCC